UCUCUUGAUCAGUAAAUUGACACUUCUUUUUUUAAAAAAGGAUGAUAAUAUUAAAACCCUAAGUCCUAAGUCAUCUGCUUCACUCCUAAACAUCUAUGCUGUUCUCUCAUGCCCACCCAUUCCUAAACAUCUCUGACUCCCCUCCAACGCACACCCAUCUCCGGCCCACCCUUGACCGGCGUUGCAGCCUCGACCACCAGCAGCAGGUUGCGCCACCAUCCCCUAUCACCACACUCCCUUGAUCCGCAGCAGCAGGAGGUCGCAGUAACAGUAACACGUGGGUGGCAGAACUGAAGCAAACUCCGAGCUCCAUUUUCGUGAACAUUCCCGAUAUUAUUUGAGCGGAUCGAAAAAGGUAAAUUUAGCAGUAAGAUAUAUCCAUCCAUAUUUGAAAAUUGUGAUUAAAGACUCUGAUUGUGUGAUUUCUUUUGCAGUCAUAUCAUUCGGAGAAAUUCCAAAUGUUUUUAAGGUUUUAUGUAAAAGGAACCCACUUAGAUCAAUGAAACCUAUAGCUUUAAAAUGUAAUGAACAUAAGUAAUUUCAAUUUCCUUUAGUUUAUAAAACUUCCAUUAAAGAUAUAUGGUAAGAAUCGUUGUUAUUCAUCAUACAUUAUUUGAAGAAAACCAAAAGUUCUUCGGCCUUUCCUGAUUCACAUUUGUGUUUGAUAAAUUUCAACAUUAAUUGUCCUUUCCUGUUGAAAUCAUUUCUCUCUUACUUUGGGAUUACAUUGAACCCAUUGAUGAUAAUGUGUUAUUUCUUUAAACAAGAGGUAUGAUAAAUAGAGUUUAGGAACAAGCAUUGGGAUUCAUAAAGUCCAUCAGUUAUUUGUACCAAUUGAUCUCAUGGGCUUAAACAUGUCUAGAAAAUAAUAGUUUUAUCAACAUUAGGUUGAAAUUCUCAUUCCUUGUCUUGAAAUUUAUAGUUAGACUUGGGAAAUAUAUGGAUACAUUAGAUAGGAACAUAAGUUAUUUUAGUUUCUUAAUAGUUCAGUUGGUUUACUAUCUGAACUUUCGCUUGGUGAAGAUUCAAUUCCCAAACUUAUUUCCCCUUCCCCUACUCCCAAUUUUUUUUAAAAGAAAAGAAAGUUGUUAGUGUACAUAUCUUGAUAGAGAAAAAUAUGAGGGGAAAAUAUUAUUGUUGUGUGAUGUAGAUUUCCUUGAAAUUUCUACAGCAAACUUGUGCAUUGACCUGAGGAUGACAAACACUGUUUCUUUUCGUGCUAGACAACCGAGGAAGAUCAACAUCUAAAAAUGUUGAUACAAGAUUAUAUUGCUUUUUUCAUCAAAUUACUAGAUAAUUUUUUAUGAUUCAACAUUUCUAAAGUACAAGUAGAACUUUUUUCUAUAAGUGUUUGUGUCCAUCUUGUAUUGAUACUUAGCUUUAAUUUAGUGAUAACUUAUUUAUGUCCAUUGAGUGUUUGUUUUGCAUAAGUAGCAACAUUAGUUGAUCCUAUCAAUGACAAAAUUGAUUUUAUUGCAAGAUUAAUUUGUUUCCAUCUAACAUUGAUAUUAAGCUUCAAUUUACGAAUAAUGUGUUUCUUAAGGAUAAGUACCAAUACUAGUUGAUCAUGUCAAAUUGAUUUUCUUGCAAGAUCGAUUUGUUUCCAUCUAGUGUUGACACUUAUCUUUAAAUUUGUAAAUAAUAUAUUUGUUAUGUAUAAGUAUCAACACUAGUUGAUCCUAUUGAUGACAAAAUUAAUUUUCUUGCAAGAUGGAUUUGUGCACAUCUAGUGUUGGCACCUAGCUUUAAUUUAGGAAUAAUGUGUUUGUUAAGCAUAACUAUCAACUUUAGUUAUCCUAUUGAUGAGAAAAUUAAUUUUAUUGCAAGAUAUUUUUGUGUCUAUCUAGUGUUUACACUUAUCUUUAAAUUUAGAAAUAAUAUAUUUGUUAAGCAUAAGUACCAACACUAGUUGAUCCUAUUGAUGACAAAAAACCCUUUCUCAGAAGAUCAACUAGUGUCCAUAUAGUGUUGAUAUUUGAAAUUAAUUUAGGAAUAAUGUGUUUGUUAAGCAAAAAUAUCAAAACUAGUUGAUCCUAUUGAUGAUAUAAUUGAUUUUCUUGCAAGAUUGAUUUAUGUCCAUCUAGUGUUUUGAUUAAGAUUUAAUUUAGGAAUAAUGUAUUUGUUAAGCAUAAUUAACAACACUAGUUGAUCAUAUUGAUGACAAAGUUGAUUUUCUUAGAAACUCAAUUUGUAUCCAUAUAGUGUAAAUAUUAUGCUUUAAUUUAGGAAUAAUGUGUUUGUUACGCAUAAGUACCAAUACUAGUGAAGAAAAUAACUUGUGGUUGCGUAGUUGGUAAAAGAAUCCAUCCACCCACGUUUUAUUUUAAAUCUUACUAGGACAAAAGACAUUAUAUAUCAUCAGUAUAUCAAAGAAUAAUCUCACUUAGUAUAGAUUUGAGAUGAAACACAGGAAACAUACCUUGUCUACUAGCUCAUACGGAAAUUUCACACUCCUAAUUUUUUUUAUUUAGGUUAGUAACUUGAAUAAUCACUUCUUCAUUAAAGUCUAUUCCCAUAUGACAUUAAAUGCCUCAUAUUUUCCAGGAAUUUUGAAAUUAGAGAAGUCAAGAUUGUAGAAAAGAAAGUUCCUUCUUUAGAAAUCUUUGAUAAAUAAAUUAAAUUGAUGUUACUAAUAAAUAAAAAGAAGACAAAGACAAAAGCUAUAAAAGAUUACACUUUUAUGCUUACACACCAAUUCUUCACUACAUUAGUCAUAUUACACUCACAAUAGAUCAAAGCUUAGUCAAGAUGAAUGACAUAAAAUGUACGUCAGUAGAAUGUCGAUUGAGUUCAAAGGAGAAAGGGUUGGAAGAUGAGAGGUGAAAGAGUUAUUUCUCUUGUUUAGUUAGGGGGAUAGGAGAGCACUAUGUCUUAUUUAUCUACCUUCCAGUAUACCAAAUAAAGGAAUUAAAUGUUCGUUGCCGCACGUAGUGGAAAUAAACAAUGAACUUCACUCUCCUUUAACCUUAUGUCUUUCAUUUGUAGGAGACAAGUCUAUUUUAAGUAUUAAGGCACAAAUAGAAUAGAGAAUCUGUUGUUACCGCUACCCUGGGUAAUAACUUCUUGCUAUUAAUAGGUAAAAUCAUGUUGUUUAGAAAAUUGAAUACGUAAGAGUUUUAUUCUAUCUUUCUGAGAAAUUAAUGGUUUUGACACCUUCAUUUUAUUUCUGAAGUGAAUUUUCAUUAAGGAUGAAAAUACGGUAAAAAUUGUUAGCUAUACAGUGCAUACAAAUACUUAGGAAAUAAGUCUCAAAAUCACAGAGGCUGAGAAUUUAUGUUUCGCUUAGUCCUCUUGCCAGUUCCUUGUUCUCGCUUGCCUUUGUUCUAGUUGUCGGAGUUCUCGCAGUCGUACUCCGAUUGUUAAGUUGUUAUUUGUAGUUUUGAUGAUUUGAUAAACAUAGGGACCUCAUAAAGGUACCGGGUUUUCUACUUGAGUAUUGCAGGUGUAUUGUUCGAAGUAUUGCAGAUAAAACAAAACUCAGGGACCUAAUAGAGGUACCAGGCUCUCAUGAUGACAUGUCAGUCAACUGCCAGCUGGAGAUGGUGCAGAAAGUAGGUGCACACUUCCCGAUGGCGUCAGAAAGUGUGACCCUUCCAGCCAAUGGCAAAGAAGUUUAGGAAAGUGACUUGCCCAUAUAAAAGGCACUUUCCUAAACACUUCUCUCUAGUUUUUGCAACUUGAUAAACACUUUUCAAGAAUUCUUGCAAAGGCUAAUACAAA